rnacentral:lncRNA from 1 species
UUUCGAGUUAAGUCAAGAGCAUAAAGUUGAGUUCAUUUCUCAAAAGCUAUUAGGGAACUAAGUAUUCCCAAAGAAGUUUAUAAAUGUUUUCACAUUUAAGAUGAGAGGAAACUGAGAUUUCCAAAAGAGUUUUGAGAAGUUUGAGUACUAUCUCUUUUUGAGCAAAGAUGAGUUUUUGCAAAAGAGUUUCUAAAACAUGAUUAGUAUGGCAAAUCGAGUAUGUCAUCAAUGAUUAAACAGUAUGGUCUCUAGAUAUACCAUCAAUGUUUAAGCAGUAUGAAUAUCCCGA